GUCAAUGGCGUAGUGGUAAACACGGUUGUCUCAUGAACAACGUGUCCGUGGUUCAAGUCCCGGCAUUGGCG